rnacentral:rRNA from 1 species
UACAGAGGGUGCGAGCGUUAAUCGGAAUUACUGGGCGUAAAGCGUGCGUAGACGGUUAUUUAAGUCGGGUGUGAAAGCCCCGGGCUCAACCUGGGAAUUGCAUUCGAGACUGAAUAGCUAGGGUACGGUAGAGGGAAGUGGAAUUUCCGGUGUAGCGGUGAAAUGCGUAGAUAUCAGGAGGAACACCGGUGGCGAAGGCGGAUCUCUGGGCCAUUACUGACGCUGAGGAGCGAAAGCGUGGGGAGCGAACAGG